AUUCGGUGUAGUAUUUGCUGCAGAA
rnacentral:piRNA from 1 species